AUGACUUUGAUCUGCGUCCUCAUCUGGACUCUCCUCUGCUUCACUCAGGGAUCUGAUGGACAAAAUAUUGUUGUGACUCAAUCAGCAGCCAAAUCAGUGCAGCUUGGUCAGACUGUCACUAUUGACUGUAAGGCCAGUAGACAAGUAGCUUGUAGCACACCCUGCCUGUCCUGGUACCAUCAUAAACCUGGAGAAGCUCCUAAAGCUCUGAUCUACAGAACAUCAUCCAGAUUUUCAGGAAUCUCCUCCAGAUUCAGUGGAAGUGGAGCAGGAAAUGGAUUAGACUUCACUCUGACCAUCAGUGGAGUUCAGGCUGAAGAUGCAGGAGUUUAUUACUGUCAGAGUUUUCAUUACAUCAACAGUCAGGAUGUGUUCACACAGUGAAAAAUCAUCGUACAAAAACCUCCCUCAGUCUGACUGAACAGAAACUAAACUUUGUUCUGCAGCUGGAAUCUGCAUCAGACACUGAUACAGUUCACUGAACACAUCAGGCCAGAAAUUAUAUUUCCAUUAAACACAAGAACA